UCGGGAAUUUUGGGCAAUGGGCGAAAGCCUGACCCAGCAACGCCGCGUGAGGGAUGAAGUAUUUCGGUAUGUAAACCUCGAAAGAAUGGGAAGAAUAAAUGACGGUACCAUUUAUAAGCUCCGGCUAACUACGUGCCAGCAGCCGCGGUAAUACGUAGGGAGCAAGCGUUGUUCGGAUUUACUGGGCGUAAAGGGCGCGUAGGCGGCGCGGUAAGUCACUUGUGAAAUCUCUGAGCUUAACUCAGAACGGCCAAGUGAUACUGCUGUGCUAGAGUGCGGAGGAGGCAACCGGAAUUCUUGGUGUGGCGGUGAAAUGCGUAGAUAUCAAGAGGAACACCUGAGGCGAAGGCGGGUUGCUGGGCCGACACUGACGCUGAUGCGCGAAAGCCAGGGGAGCAAACG
rnacentral:rRNA from 1 species